rnacentral:rRNA from 1 species
CAUGCAAGUCGAGCGGAAACGAUGGAAGCUUGCUUCCAGGCGUCGAGCGGCGGACGGGUGAGUAAUGCAUAGGAAUCUGCCCGAUAGUGGGGGAUAACGUGGGGAAACUCACGCUAAUACCGCAUACGUCCUACGGGCAGAAAGCAGGGGAUCUUCGGACCUUGCGCUAUCGGAUGAGCCUAUGUCGGAUUAGCUAGUUGGUGAGGUAACGGCUCACCAAGGCGACGAUCCGUAGCUGGUCUGAGAGGAUGAUCAGCCACACUGGGACUGAGACACGGCCCAGACUCCUACGGGAGGCAGCAGUGGGGAAUAUUGGACAAUGGGGGAAACCCUGAUCCAGCCAUGCCGCGUGUGUGAAGAAGGCCUUCGGGUUGUAAAGCACUUUCAGCGAGGAAGAAGGCCUGAGGGCUAAUACCCUUCAGGAAGGACAUCACUCGCAGAAGAAGCACCGGCUAACUCCGUGCCAGCAGCCGCGGUAAUACGGAGGGUGCGAGCGUUAAUCGGAAUUACUGGGCGUAAAGCGCGCGUAGGUGGCUUGAUAAGCCGGUUGUGAAAGCCCCGGGCUCAACCUGGGAACGGCAUCCGGAACUGUCAGGCUAGAGUGCAGGAGAGGAAGGUAGAAUUCCCGGUGUAGCGGUGAAAUGCGUAGAGAUCGGGAGGAAUACCAGUGGCGAAGGCGGCCUUCUGGACUGACACUGACACUGAGGUGCGAAAGCGUGGGUAGCAAACAGGAUUAGAUACCCUGGUAGUCCACGCCGUAAACGAUGUCGACUAGCCGUUGGGUUCCUUGAGAACUUUGUGGCGCAGUUAACGCGAUAAGUCGACCGCCUGGGGAGUACGGCCGCAAGGUUAAAACUCAACUGAAUUGACGGGGGCCCGCACAAGCGGUGGAGCAUGUGGUUUAAUUCGAUGCAACGCGAAGACCCUUACCUACCCUUGACAUCGUGCGAACUUGGUAGAAAUACCCUGGUGCCUUCGGGAACCCAAAAACAGUUCUGCAUGGUUUUGUCGGCUCGGUUGUGAAGGUUAGGUAAAUCCCAGAACAGCGAACCUUUGUCCCAUUGGCCCGCUUUCGUCGGGAAUGUAGGGGGAGUCCGGGUGACAA